GACACGGCCUCGAUGACGCGGGAGUCGCGGGCUCUGAAGUCGCCGCAUCUGGCUUGAGGAUCCCGAGGUGCUGGGGGCACAUAAAUCAAGAUACUACGCGAGAGAUCGGUAUUUGCAGGGAGGAGCCUGUCCGCCAUUGGUGCCUCGGGGAGUCCGCCCUGCUGGGGCACAGCGACAGCUCUUGUCCCCUCUGUUUCCUCUGAACGCGUUAAUUUUAUUUCUUUUGGUUUUUUUUUCUUUUCUUCUGCUGUAAAGAACACCACUUCUCACCUUUGUUAGGCGGAUGUAGAGAGAGAUAACGGAGGAGUGCCCAGCUGAAGUCUUGCUUGGAAACAAGAUGAGAAAGGCGAGACUGCUAUCAAACGGUACAAGAUUUUUGCACAAUUUUCAGGUCUCUGCACUCCGCAUACAAAUGAUACUGCUCUUCACUUGUAGGGAGGGAUUUCAAACAGAAACCAAAUCCUCUUCCUAAAGACAUUGCAGCUUUUUCCUGUCAUGGAAUUCCUCUGUUGCCUUCCCAACUAUUUUCUAAGAGAACCGUGAAAAUACCAGCCCAAACCAGGAUGCUAGCAAUUUAGAAGUCCUGAAAAAAAAAUAGCCCUGUCAGAGAUGGACACACUGUGACUGGAUGGGGGCUGCCACGAUCCGUGUUGAUUUCCGGCUUCCACCUAGAGAAGUACAACUGUAACUGUACCAGCUCUGGCCUUCAGCACACAGUUGUAAGUAGAGCCUGGAAGCAGAUGCACACCCGAGAAGAAAUCCUGCUGUGCCCUGAGGCAAUCAGACCCAUGGGGAGCAGCCACUCCAAGUGCCAGGUACAUCAGAUUAGUCCAGGUGAAUGAGAAUGAAAGCUAGGACUGAGCUGACCAAGCCUCAGUCUGGCAGUAAUUUAGGGGCACAUUGGGGUGUGAAAUGUGUGAUUCUCCUUUAUAUUGUGGGUCUAACAACCAGUCCUACUGAUGGGCCUGUCUUCAGUACCCUGGAAGGUGGCCUGUGCAGAGACUGACAGCUCGGAGUCUCCCUGUAAGUAGGGUGCACCAAGCUUUAAUUUUACUUAUGUUGUAAUUAACGGAUUUGUCAUGCAACUUUCAAAAAUGUUUGUUUUCCUCCAUGAAAUUAGACAAAUUCUAACAAUAUUUAGUCAUGUUGAUUGUCACUCUAGGCAAAAAUCCAUCUCUAUUUUUAGUUGAACUUGUGCAUUUCAUGUGAUAAUGCUCUGGGAACACUUUUAUUUCCCUAGGAAGAUGAUGCAAAAAAAAGAUGAUUGCUUUCUCUCACAAGUGUCUCACCUAAAUGAAGUAGCACAUUUAUUACAAGCUUUUGCUUUAGGAGAUGAAUAAAAUCUGUAUCUCCAGUUUUCAAUAUAUCUAUCAAGAUACUUUUAGCUAAUUUAAAGAACAUACCACAGAGGCUUGAAUUUUGAAACUCAAACUAUUUCAACAGCCUAUUCAAAGGGAUGGUUGUCUUUUGGGAAGGAUGGGAGUGUUAGAAGGAAUGUCAGGUUGAGAGAUUGAAAGCUGAUGCUGAAGGGAAUAGGAGUGCUAAAAUCUCCUGACACUCCUAGAGUGGGCAAAGGAGUAGAGUCAUUCUCUCACUCAUUCCUGCCAUCACUCAGCCUGUUCCUUCACUCAAAAUGUGCCAUGACUGCCUUCCCACAUCAUGGGAGACAGCUCUGGGCUCUUCCAAUUCAUGCUGCCUGAUCAGGAAAACAUUUUGCUCUUCUCAUACUGUUUUGAUUAAUAGGGAGAGCUCAUUGUAAAAAUAAAAUAAAAAAAAAUAUUAUUAAUUUGUAGUCCAUAUACUCACUUGCUUCUGAGUAACAAAACAAUCCAUGCAGAUGAACCACCAGGAGUAAAGGAUGAACCCUGGCCAUAAAAUAUGAGACUGGCAAUAAAAUAAAAGAUGUCAUAUUGGGAAAUGAAGUGUUACUCCAGAAUUGAGUGAAUUUGAGUUGCUUAAAACUCCUCCUUUCUUUUCCAUAACCUUGAAAGGUUCAAGUUCCUGUAAACAGGUUUUUUGCUUUUCCUUUAGGUUUAAUUUUGUUUCUUUUUCAGGAAUGUCCUAAUACUUCAAAAACACACACACUGUUACUUUGUACCUACAGCUGCCAGUGAAAAGCUUAGGAAGAUACUAGACACACACACUAUGCUAAAAUAGAACCAAGAAAAUUAAACUGCCUGGUGUGGAAAAGGUAAAUCUGGGUAAGCAUUACUUGACUUGAACAAUCAUGAAAUAUAGAAUAUUUCCUCAAAUAACACAAGCACACUGUAAAGCACCAAUCUAGUCUAUGUACCUGUACAUUGUUGUCAUAUCUACAAGGAUUCUGUGUAAUACUGGUCAUAAUAAAAAUUCAUUCAUUAAAUAAUCUGUGGGGUUUUUUUUCUUUGAAAUUAAACUAUUA